rnacentral:misc_RNA from 1 species
GAUGAAGAACGUAGCGAAAUGCGAUACGUAAUGUGAAUUGCAAAUUCAGUGAAUCAUCGAGUCUUUGAACGCACAUUGCGCCCCCUGGUAUUCCGGGGGGCAUGCCUGUCCGAGCGUCAUUGCUGCCCUCAAGCACGGCUUGUGUGUUGGGCCCCGUCCUCCGAUUCCGGGGGACGGGCCCAAAAGGCAGCGGCGGCACCGCGUCCGGUCCUCGAGCGUAUGGGGCUUUGUCACCCGCUCUGUAGGCCCGGCCGGCGCUUGCCGAUCAACCCAAAUUUUUAUCCAGGUUGACCUCGGAUCAGGUAGGGAUACCCGCUGAACUUAAGCAUAUCAAUAAGCGGAGGA